GGGGUACUCGAGUGGCGAACGGGUGAGUAACACGUGGGUGAUCUGCCCUGCACUUUGGGAUAAGCCUGGGAAACUGGGUCUAAUACCGGAUAUACCUCGCUGGUCGCAUGGCCUGGUGGGGGAAAGCUUUUGCGGUGUGGGAUGGGCCCGCGGCCUAUCAGCUUGUUGGUGAGGUUAUGGCUUACCAAGGCGACGACGGGUAGCCGGCCUGAGAGGGUGACCGGCCACACUGGGACUGAGAUACGGCCCAGACUCCUACGGGAGGCAGCAGUGGGGAAUAUUGCACAAUGGGCGCAAGCCUGAUGCAGCGACGCCGCGUGGGGGAUGACGGCCUUCGGGUUGUAAACCUCUUUCAGUGCCGACGAAGCGUAAGUGACGGUAGGCACAGAAGAAGGACCGGCCAACUACGUGCCAGCAGCCGCGGUAAUACGUAGGGUCCGAGCGUUGUCCGGAAUUACUGGGCGUAAAGAGCUCGUAGGUGGUUUGUCGCGUUGUCCGUGAAAACUCACAGCUUAACUGUGGGCGUGCGGGCGAUACGGGCAGACUUGAGUACUGCAGGGGAGACUGGAAUUCCUGGUGUAGCGGUGGAAUGCGCAGAUAUCAGGAGGAACACCGGUGGCGAAGGCGGGUCUCUGGGCAGUAACUGACGCUGAGGAGCGAAAGCGUGGGGAGCGAACAGGAUUAGAUACCCUGGUAGUCCACGCCGUAAACGGUGGGUACUAGGUGUGGGUUUCCUUCCUUGGGAUCCGUGCCGUAGCUAACGCAUUAAGUACCCCGCCUGGGGAGUACGGCCGCAAGGCUAAAACUCAAAGAAAUUGACGGGGGCCCGCACAAGCGGCGGAGCAUGUGGAUUAAUUCGAUGCAACGCGAAGAACCUUACCUGGGUUUGACAUGCACAGGACGCUGGCAGAGAUGUCGGUUCCCUUGUGGCCUGUGUGCAGGUGGUGCAUGGCUGUCGUCAGCUCGUGUCGUGA
rnacentral:rRNA from 1 species